GGGGUUGGAGAAGAUGCCCUCCAGAACUCCCAACCUCAACCCUUUUGUGAUUCUAUCUCUUUUGGACAGUAUUGCAAAACAUUUAAGAAGGUAACUUGGCCACUUUGUGUUCCAGGUUUUUUUUGUUGUGUGUUUUUGUUUUGUUUUUUCCAGAUGUUGUGUCAAGGCUCCAUUAAAAGUAUAAUGGCAGCAAACUUCAAGCCAUGAGGCAGCUGAUAAACACUCACCUGAAAAUAAUCAGUUUCAGUGCUGAGCAAUUGAACUGAAGCUAGAGGAGUACCAGACAUGGCAUAAUCCUCCUGACAACCACAGUUUGUUAGAGUUGCAGGAAGAAGAUUAAAAAUCAUCAGAGCAAACACCAUGAGUUGGAAGUAAAAAGGCUUCAGACAUCAUCAUCAAAGGAUCCUUGCCUCAGCACAGGCUUGGCACUGGGGAAAUCCCAAAGUAAAGCUUGUGGAGGGGACUGUUUCAGUAGAAGAGCGCUGCUGUUGACUGACAGAGUUGAGUCACUCUUCCCAGAAGGGUUCAAAAAGAGGUCAGACAUAUUAACUGCAGAGAAAACAAGCUAAAUCUGUAAUUGAAUUACUUUAAUCUAUACCAUCCCCUUCUAGCAUAUUUUAUUUUCACAAUCAACCAACCAAGCAGCUGGCUUUUCAGCAUUUGCUUCCCCCCCACCCCUUUGUUUACACUCCUUUCUAGCUAUUAUAAUUCGUGUCAGUGUUAAAAGGCUUUGACUGAGGUUCUGCCCUGUUUUAUUACUGUACCUCCCUGCAAGAGGAGGAUCUUUGCCCUGAAAGUUUGCAAUUGAUAAGGGCAGGCCGUACAGGGCUGAGAGAAAGGGAGGACUCUCUCUUUUGAUUAAGGAAGAGCUCACCUACAGCAAAAUCAAGUGAUUCAUCCAAGCUUACUUGGAAAACAAAGCUGCCCAGCCUUUCCAGCCCUUACCUAGGGCUCUGAACACAAGGUGCUCUUGCUGUACUUGCCUGCUUUCCUCUUGUUGGAAAUCGGAUGGUGGUGGUGUAAACUUUGCUCAGGGAGCAUUCAGGUGGCCUUCGUUAAUACAAAUUAAAGAUGUUCUAAGUACCCUAACUCUGCAUGGUUUCCUCUGUUGGCAGUCCUGCCAGUCAUAGUUCUGCUGACUUCCCAAUCUUGUGCUAGUAAAACACAUUUUCCCUCUGAAGUGUUUGAGAGUGUUCUGACUUUCUUCAGGA
rnacentral:lncRNA from 1 species